rnacentral:rRNA from 1 species
UACAGAGGGCGCGAGCGUUGUCCGGAAUCACUGGGCGUAAAGGGCGCGUAGGUGGCCACCAUACGGCCGCGGUGAAAGUUCGGGGCUUAACCCCGGGCAUGCAGUGGAUACGGGCCGGCUGGAGGCAGGCAGGGGAGAAUGGAAUUCCCGGUGUAGCGGUGAAAUGCGCAGAUAUCGGGAGGAACACCGGUGGCGAAGGCGGUUCUCUGGGCCUGUACUGACGCUGAGGAGCGAAAGCGUGGGGAGCGAACAGG